rnacentral:rRNA from 1 species
UACGAAGGGGGCUAGCGUUGCUCGGAAUUACUGGGCGUAAAGGGCGCGUAGGCGGAGUGCUUUGUCGGGCGUGAAAUUCCAGGGCUCAACCUUGGGGCUGCGUUCGAGACGGGCAUUCUAGAGUGGAGAAGAGGGUCGUGGAAUUCCCAGUGUAGAGGUGAAAUUCGUAGAUAUUGGGAAGAACACCGGUGGCGAAGGCGGCGACCUGGUCUUUUACUGACGCUGAGGCGCGAAAGCGUGGGGAGCGAACAGG